AUUGAACGCUGGCGGCAGGCCUAAUACAUGCAAGUCGACCUUAGUGGCGAACGGGUGAGUAACCCGUGGGUAACCUGCCCAUCAGAAGGGGAUAACACUUGGAAACAGGUGCUCAUACCGUAUACUGAUGGAUGGACCCGUGGUGGAUUAGCUAGUUGGUGAGGUAAAGGCUCACCAAGGCCACGAUGCAUAGCCGGCCUGAGAGGAUGAUCGGCCACACUGGAACUGAGACACGGCCCAAACUCCUACGGGAGGCAGCAGUAGGGAAUCUUCGGCAAUGGACGAAAGUCUGACCGAGCAACGCCGCGUGAGUGAAGAAGGUUUUCGGAUCGUAAAGCUCUUUAGUUAGAGAAGCGGUAUCUAAACAGAAAGCCACGGCUAACUACGUGCCAGCAGCCGCGGUAAUAC
rnacentral:rRNA from 1 species